rnacentral:tRNA from 1 species
CAAGAUGUAGCUUAAACAAAGCAUCCAGCUUACACCCGGAAGAUUUCACGUAAAACUGACCAUCUUGA